AGCCCGUCACCUUGCAACGGAUGGUGUAGGGCUUGCCGAUCUUGUUCCCCUAGUAACCUCUGCGCAUGGGGACAAUGGAGAGCUAGGCCAGGAUGAUGGCCCUGUGGAUGGCAGUGGCCACCUCCUUGGAGCACUUAACACCCAGACCGACGUGACCGUUGUAGCCCGCAAUGGCCACAAACGCCUUGAACCUGGUUCGCUGGCCGGCUCCGGUCUGCUUCUGCACCGGCAUAAUCUUCAAAACCUAGGCCUCGAGAGAGGCCCCCCAGGAAAAAAUCAAUGAUCUCAGAUUCCGUGAUGGGCAGGGAGAAGAGACAGAUCUCCUCCAGGGAAGUGAUCUUCAUGUGCUUGACCAGGCAGCCCAGCUUGCUGACGGGCAUCCACUCCUUAUCCUUGGCCUUGCCUCCGCGAGCUCCGUGGCUUCGGCCCCAGCCUGGUCCACGGCAGUGACCCCGGCCUCGGAUGCCACUGCCGAAACCUCCACGGAAGCCACCAUGGUUCCCCAUCCCAGGGCCCCGGGGCCUCCGGGACUCCCCCCGCAACCCAAUGCCGGCUGCGCCGGCGUCAUCCGCCAUUUGGUGUUUUCUCGGAGAAGAAGCUACAUGUGGAAUAUAUUAACGCAACAAAUUGUGCGUACUUGCUAGACAUUAGGCAUGAUAGCAAGUGCUAGGGUUACAAAGUAUUGCUUUUUGGGGAACCCAUGGUUGUUGGGGAGAAACCAGAAGAUCAGUCAUCACAGUGCGGCAAGAUCAGACUUGUGGUUUGUUCAGGUUCUGGGAGCCGUCACUGCAGUGAGAAUGGGACCCUGGUUGAAGGAACCUGUUGUUCUUAUGGUGGAGGGCAGAAACCCAAGAGGGCUGGAGCCAAUCCAUAACUCAGGCACGUGGCCACAUCUAACAGCAAGGGAGUCUGGAAAACACAGUUCAGCUGUGUGAAGGAUAUUUAUAAACAUUUAGCAAGAUCCAAAGGAAUGGACCAUAGCACAGCCCUGUUUUCUUUAGACGCUGACUCCUGCUGUCUACCAGAUCCUCGUGGUACAAUGACUGGUGUAGACUGGCUUGUUGAAGUCACUCUCUGGAUCUGAGCAACGCUGGCUGAGCCGUGAUGAAGUAUUCCUAUCCAUCCACUAUGCUUCACAGUGGGAAUCUCUCACUGUUCAUCACCGCUGCCCUAGCAGCCGCAGGGAUUCUUCACCCAUGGUUGCUUAGGUUUAUAAGCAAGGAAGCUGAAUGAAGUCCCUUUCCUCUCUGGAUGAGCCCCUGGGUUUCUGGAAGAGUCUUAAAAUCACCCCUAAAUGGCUUCCAAGCACUGAAGCCCGAGAUGUUAGCUGGCCUGUGUGAGGCCUUGAGACAGAAUGCCACAGCCACACCCCAAGGAUGCUGAAGGGGAUUUCCCUCCUCUGUGGUUUUUCUCCUUUCUUCCCGCAGCACUCCUCCUACGUGCUAACAUCUUCUAGUCAAACAACUCUCCUUUUCAAAGGGACCAGGCACAGUUUCUGCUUAUCCCUGAGUAGCAGUGUUCAGUUUCCUGCCAGCCUGUGGAGUUUUUCAAACAAGCCAAUCACCUCCUCCUGUGGGAACUGAGAAGCACCCCACCCUCUCGAUACUACAAAGCCCCUGCUUGUUCCCUAGUGCAACUCCCAUGUGGUCCUGUGGAGCAUAUGGUAUCUUCCUCUUCUGGGCAGUGAGCAUAUGUGACUAAUAAACUAUCUAUCUCA
rnacentral:lncRNA from 1 species